rnacentral:rRNA from 1 species
UACGUAGGGGGCUAGCGUUAUCCGGAAUUACUGGGCGUAAAGGGUGCGUAGGUGGUUUCUUAAGUCAGAGGUGAAAGGCUACGGCUCAACCGUAGUAAGCCUUUGAAACUGGGGAACUUGAGUGCAGGAGAGGAGAGUGGAAUUCCUAGUGUAGCGGUGAAAUGCGUAGAUAUUAGGAGGAACACCAGUUGCGAAGGCGGCUUACUGGACUGUAACUGACGUUGAGGCUCGAAAGCGCGGGGAGCAAACAGG